CCCUUAGAUGUCCGGGGCUGCACGCGCGCUACACUGAAGGAAUCAGCGUGCUAAAACCAUUGUCGAAAGGCAUUGGUAAACCCAUUAAAAUCCUACGUGAUUGGGAUCGGGAAUUGCAAUUAUUUCCCUUGAACGAGGAAUUCCCAGUAAGUGUGGGUCAUAAGCUCGCGUUGAUUACGUCCCUGCCCUUUGUACACACCGCCCGUCGCUGCCCGGGACUGAGCCGUUUCGAGAAAAGCGGGGACUGCUGCUGUCGGGGCUUUCGGGCCUUGGCUUCGGUGGAAACCGCUUUAAUCGCAGUGGCUUGGACCGGGCAAAAGUCGUAACA
rnacentral:rRNA from 1 species